CCGUCGGGCGGUAUUCUGUCUUUUUUCGAGUCGGGAUAGGGUUUUGAGUAUGUGAUUUUUUUCGGCGCCGCCAGACGCUGGGAAGAUCCAUGCAUCCUAUGGAUGAGAAGGUGAGGUGCUCCCUGACAGACCAUGGCUGUGGAAUGAUUAGGCAGUCCUGGUCUACAUGGUUUCUCACCUAUUAAAGCUGUAACCUGCUUCCACCUUUUUCACCAUUGUUUUAAAUCAGUUGUGCACAACUGGCAGGGUAUAGCUUUCAGUCUUGUUGCCUAACAUCUUACUGAGUUUUAAAACAUGAGUGUUCUGUAUUUAUUCCCUGCAUUGUGUGCUUGUCCUAAAUAGUAACGUGCAGUAAUUGUCCUGUGUAGCUGAGAUGUGAGUGAUGAUGCUUGGCCGUGUUUGAGCAGAAGGGUGCAGCCGGUGUGCACGGAAGUCCGUUGCCACGCCCUGCCUCAUUGCUGUUCCCUGCACGCCAGAGUUGGGGCAUUUGACACCCUUCUACCUGUGUGGGCUGUGCCGUACACUUAACUAUUCAGUUUAUAAUGCAAAAUAGAUUAACAUGUUCCAAAUUGUAUGCAGCUGGAUGUCAAGUGUAAUGGAUGAGCAGUCACAAUAAAUGAAUAUGAACAACUUUGGCCAAGUUGUCAUUAGCCUAUUAUGCAUGUUGGAUCUGUAGUAUGUGAUGGGGGCAGCCCUGGAGCAUCCAGUCCUGCAGAGAUCAUUUAGCUGCUGUUGGUACACUGGAGCUGGACUAACUACACCAACCCCUGCUACUUAAGAGUUGCAGUUAUGUCUACAUGUACCUCAUUCCUAUGGACUUGAAUAAAUGUGGGAAAUGGUUGUCCA